rnacentral:rRNA from 1 species
GAUGAACGCUGGCGGCGUGCCUAAUACAUGCAAGUCGAGCGAACAGACGAGGAGCUUGCUCCUCUGACGUUAGCGGCGGACGGGUGAGUAACACGUGGAUAACCUACCUAUAAGACUGGGAUAACUUCGGGAAACCGGAGCUAAUACCGGAUAAUAUAUUGAACCGCAUGGUUCAAUAGUGAAAGACGGUUUUGCUGUCACUUAUAGAUGGAUCCGCGCCGCAUUAGCUGGUUGGUAAGGUAACGGCUUACCAAGGCGACGAUGCGUAGCCGACCUGAGAGGGUGAUCGGCCACACUGGAACUGAGACACGGUCCAGACUCCUACGGGAGGCAGCAGUAGGGAAUCUUCCGCAAUAGGCGAAAGCCUGACGGAGCAACGCCGCGUGAGUGAUGAAGGUCUUCGGAUCGUAAAACUCUGUUAUUAGGGAAGAACAAAUGUGUAAGUAACUAUGCACGUCUUGACGGUACCUAAUCAGAAAGCCACGGCUAACUACGUG